UACGUAGGCAGCAAGCGUUGUUCGGAGUUACUGGGCGUAAAGGGUGUGUAGGCGGUUGUUUAAGUUUGGUGUGAAAUCUCCCGGCUCAACUGGGAGGGUGCGCCGAAUACUGAAUGACUUGGAGUGCGGGAGAGGAGAGUGGAAUUCCGGGUGUAGCGGUGGAAUGCGUAGAGAUCCGGAAGAACACCAGUGGCGAAGGCGGUCUGCUGGGCAGUGGGAGCUUCGGCUCUCUUUAGCCGACACUGAGGCGCGACAGCGUGGGGAGCAAACAGG
rnacentral:rRNA from 1 species